GAUGAACGCUGGCGGCGUGCCUAAUACAUGCAAGUCGAGCGAACAGACGAGGAGCUUGCUCCUCUGACGUUAGCGGCGGAAGGGUGAGUAACACGUGGAUAACCUACCUAUAAGACUGGGAUAACUUCGGGAAACCGGAGCUAAUACCGGAUAAUAUAUUGAACCGCAUGGUUCAAUAGUGAAAGACGGUUUUGCUGUCACUUAUAGAUGGAUCCGCGCCGCAUUAGCUAGUUGGUAAGGUAACGGCUUACCAAGGCAACGAUGCGUAGCCGACCUGAGAGGGUGAUCGGCCACACUGGAACUGGGACACGGUCCAGACUCCUACGGGAGGCAGCAGUAGGGAAUCUUCCGCAAUGGGCGAAGGCUUGACGGAGCAACGCCGCGUGAGUGAUGAAGGUCUUCGGAUCGUAAAACUCUGUUAUUAGGGAAGAACAAAUGUGUAAGUAACUAUGCACGUCUUGACGGUACCUAAUCAGAAAGCCACGGCUAACUACGUG
rnacentral:rRNA from 1 species